rnacentral:lncRNA from 1 species
AAAAAAGAAAGUUUCCAAUCUCAUUUUAUCUUCAUUACUUUCUACACCAAAAUUGGGUCCCACAACCCGGUUCUUUGUCUAGAGGAUAGCAGUUGAGUACUAGUGGUGGUCUCGGGUAGAAUUGGUAAGAAGACAUCAAACCUUUUGAAAGCUUCAAAGGUAAUACUUCUUAAAACCCUAAUUUGAUUAGUUUAUGGUUAGAUGUUAAUUGUGGCAAUUAGGGUAGAAAUUCGAUUCUUUUUCCGCUGUGCAUGACUUAGUUCUAUCAUGUGGUAUCAGAGCAUGCUUCAUUUUUACCCAAUUGCAUGUGGUGGGUUCAUAUUUAUUAGAUAAAUUUUGGUUUGAACUAAAAUGGAUAUAUUAUGAUUUUGGCUCUAGAUUAAGUGUUUUUGUUCUAAUUAUUGUAAUUAGCCUUGUUAAUGGCUUAUUUUUAUUGUUGCAAAGUGUUUGUAAUUUUUAAAAAAAAUAAAAAAAGUCAUUAGAGUUGAAGCUAGGCUGUAAUUGGUUCAACCGGGUGAGAGAAUUGAAAAAAAAUGAAGAAAAGAAGGUCACAGACCCGAAAACCCGGUUUUGACCCGCUUCGCGACCCGCACGCGCCCUCCUGCGCCCGCGCGCCCUCCUGCGCCGCGCGGCGCCGCCGCACGCCCUCCUGCGCCCGCGCGCCCUCCUGCGCCCGCGCGCCUGCAUGCGCCCGUGCGCCCGCCUGUGCCCACGCGCCGCCAUGCGCCUGCGCGCCUGCCUUCGCACGACCCGUGUGCGCCUGGGCCGGUUCAAGCCAAUAAAUUUGGUUUUUGGGCCGGUUCAAGCGGUUUCGGUUGGUUUUUUAGCCGGUUCGAAGUUUUUGGGAGUGGUUCUGUACUACACCAAAUUAAUUAUGUAAUAAUUUAGCACUUAGCUUAAUUUAGGAGCCAAAAAUCAGUCCAUUUUAGGGUGUUUUUUUUUUAUUUAUGCAUGUGAUGUAUGAUUAAAUUACUUUAAAUUUGUAUGUGCAUUUUGAAUGUCAUAUAGAUUUAAAAUCCCACCAUAGGUUAACAUGUUCAUGCAUUAAAAUGUAUGAUAUAAAGGUUAUAUUGUAUUGUAUGCAUGUUAAUUGAUUAAUAUGGAAAUUAAUUAAUAUGAUUAAUUAAUUAUUUAAUUAAUUAAGUUAUUCUUGAUUAAAUAUGAUUUAAUCAAAUUAAUUAAUUAUUGUUUGAUUUAAUUUAAUUAAAUAUGAUUUAAUUAAAUUAAAAAUUAAAUAUGAUUUAAUUAAAGUUAAAUAAAUUAAAAUCCAUAUUAAUUGGAUUGUUUUUAUAAGGUUAUAUAUUGAUAAAAUGAUUGAUUAAGUUUAAAAGUUUUUAUAAGUGUUAUAAAAUAAAUUAGACUUUUAAAAUCAAUAACAAAGAUUAAAUGCAUGCUCACUUAGGUUAAACAUAUCUUCCAUUUUUCAUAGAAAUAGGUCGAUAUCUUGUAAAACUGGUUACAAAAGGCUCACCUGGUUCAAUCUUGUCAACAAGUCAGAUAAGAUGACUAAGGUUGGAGGUUCUUAAGUUGACGGUUUACGGAACACCUCCUACCUGGAGAUCGUAAUCAGUUCUUGAGCCUAGUUAACCUAGUUUUAUGAGCAUUCGUGAGAGGUGUGAGGUAAUAAAAAUGGUUUUUCACCUAGACAUCAUAGGUUAAAAUCCUGUAUAAUGGUUAUACUUGGAUGUUUUAUCUAGACUUAAGAUUUGUUUAAGUUAGCCUAAAUAUAAAUCUUGAAGUUUGGAUUACCCUAUUUUUUUCUUUUAGAACACUUCAACUAGAGAAAAAUAAUGUAUUUUAGCUCUAGUGUCCCUAAGAGUUCACACCGUGAGGUCCAUGCAGGGCUUUGUGCCGUGCAUAGGAGCGGCCUCCCUUCGGAGAGUGUUUGCAUGGAUCAAAAUCAAGGUGAAUAGGGGAAGUAGUUCAUAGUAAGUGGGUGAGGGAUUUGUGGCAGCACAUCCCACGGUCUCUUCCAUUAGGUCGCACCGUGAGAUUUCUAUAAUAUGCCUGCUUGUCUGCCCUGGAGCGACGUUCCCUUCGGAGGGUUGUAUUAUAGGAUUCGGA